AGAACGAACGCUGGCGGCAGGCCUAACACAUGCAAGUCGAGCGCCCAGCAAUGGGAGCGGCGGACGGGUGAGUAACACGUGGGAAUAUGCCUUUCGGUUCGGCACAACUCAGGGAAACUUGAGCUAAUUCCGGAUACGCCCUUACGGGGAAAGAUUUAUCGCCGAAAGAUUAGCCCGCGUUGGAUUAGCUAGUUGGUGAGGUAACGGCCCACCAAGGCGACGAUCCAUAGCUGGUUUGAGAGAACGACCAGCCACACUGGGACUGAGACACGGCCCAGACUCCUACGGGAGGCAGCAGUGGGGAAUCUUGGACAAUGGGGGAAACCCUGAUCCAGCCAUGCCGCGUGAGUGAUGAAGGCCUUCGGGUUGUAAAGCUCUUUUGUGCGGGAAGAUAAUGACGGUACCGCAAGAAUAAGCCCCGGCUAACUUCGCGCCAGCAGCCGC
rnacentral:rRNA from 1 species